rnacentral:rRNA from 4 species
AAGGAUCAUUACCUAGAGUUGUAGGCUUUGCCUGCUAUCUCUUACCCAUGUCUUUUAAGUACCUUACGUUUCCUCGGCGGGUCCGCCCGCCGAUUGGACAAUUUAAACCAUUUGCAGUUGCAAUCAGCGUCUGAAAAAACUUAAUAGUUACAACUUUCAACAACGGAUCUCUUGGUUCUGGCAUCGAUGAAGAACGCAGCGAAAUGCGAUAAGUAGUGUGAAUUGCAGAAUUCAGUGAAUCAUCGAAUCUUUGAACGCACAUUGCGCCCCUUGGUAUUCCAUGGGGCAUGCCUGUUCGAGCGUCAUUUGUACCUUCAAGCUCUGCUUGGUGUUGGGUGUUUGUCUCGCCUCUGCGUGUAGACUCGCCUCAAAACAAUUGGCAGCCGGCGUAUUGAUUUCGGAGCGCAGUACAUCUCGCGCUUUGCACUCAUAACGACGACGUCCAAAAGUACAUUUUUACACUCUUGACCUCGGAUCAGGUAGGGAUACCCGCUGAACUUAA